UGAGACACGGCCCAGACUCCUACGGGAGGCAGCAGUGGGGAAUAUUGCGCAAUGGGCGCAAGCCUGAUGCAGCAACGCCGCGUGAGGGACGACGGCCUUCGGGUUGUAAACCUCUUUUAGUAGGGAAGAAGCGAAAGUGACGGUACCUGCAGAAAAAGCACCGGCUAACUAUGUGCCAGCAGCCGCGGUAAUACGUAGGGUGCAAGUGUUGUCCGGAAUUAUUGGGCGUAAAGAGCUCGUAGGCGGUCUGUCGCGUCUGCUGUGAAAACCCGAGGCUCAACCUCGGGCCUGCAGUGGGUACGGGCAGACUAGAGUGCGGUAGGGGAGAUUGGAAUUCCUGGUGUAGCGGUGGAAUGCGCAGAUAUCAGGAGGAACACCGAUGGCGAAGGCAGAUCUCUGGGCCGUAACUGACGCUGAGGAGCGAAAGCGUGGGGAGCGAACAGGAUUAGAUACCCUGGUAGUCCACGCCGUAAACGUUGGGCGCUAGAUGUGGGGACCAUUCCACGGUUUCCGUGUCGCAGCUAACGCAUUAAGCGCCCCGCCUGGGGAGUACGGCCGCAAGGCUAAAACUCAAAGGAAUUGACGGGGGCCCGCACAAGCGGCGGAGCAUGCGGAUUAAUUCGAUGCAACGCGAAGAACCUUACCAACAA
rnacentral:rRNA from 1 species